UUAAUUGAAGCCAAAAUACUAGAGGCCUUCCAUUGUUAAUGGAAUUAUUGAUUAAUAAUCCAAUUAAA
rnacentral:tRNA from 1 species